AAAGAAGUCUUCGAAUUAUCUACAGGCAAGCUAUCAAGAUUAUAAUCCUAGCAUGAAUUAAAGUCCGGGAUUUAGUUAACGAAGCUCCGUCUGCUGUUGGAACGAAUAUUAAUAUCAUAGCUGCUAAGAUCCCGGAAUUGGCACGAAUUUUAUGCGGCCAAGGAACAUUGUUUCUAACACAGUAUGCCUGAAAGCGAAGAUUUUUGAUAAAGGAUAGUAAUCAAAUAUAAAAACCUUUAAGGAGACUCAAAAGAUUCAAAGUAAAUAGCUGGUAAAAUACGGAAGCGAAACAAGCACAGGAGAAGUUGCUAGCAAAACGAGAGUAGCAAUGUAGUUACUUCACUGCACAACUGGUCGCAUUUUCAUGGACUUCCUUCAACUGGAACGACGUGAAUUUGUUCAAAAUGUUAUAGCUGUGUGAAAAGGUGGAAGAUGAGGGAAUAGAAGCAAAAGCCUGUGCAUCAAAGCAAAGAGGAAAAAGUGCAGCUGCUACGGUACCCCAGCCAACUAGGCUUGACCAUAAAACUGAUGCGUUGCCAAAUAUCUGUUGGGAUGCACUUUACRAAACAGUUUUGUUAUCAACAUUUCGUACACAUAAACAGUACUACAAAACAACAACGUUUUGAAAUACCAAACUGCAGGAUUCCGAGAUUAUGGUCAAAGUAGUUAAUCAUUAAAUGCUCUCUGCGAAUUUCACAGCAAUCUAUGUAUGAGCUAUGGCACUUAUAAUAAUAAAUGGUGUCGAAGAAAACUGUUGUAAAACCCCUGCGAAUGAACGAUAAGAAAAUGCAAAGGAAAGCAGCAGAAAAAGAAACUGCUGGAGUAAAGUAGCUGCAGCGUCGUGGACGCCGCCACCACUUCCACAAUUUACGAAGAAACAACGGCAUCCACGACAAAGUAGACAAAUAGAACGGGAAAUUAAGCUACGGAAUGGGUCAACAAACAUUUUUGUAAAUUAUUUGUUUAGAUUACGA